rnacentral:tRNA from 1 species
GAGCCGUUAGCUCAGUUGGUAGAGCACCGGACUUUUAAUCCGGGUGUCGCGGGUUCAAGUCCCGCACGGCUCACCA